rnacentral:lncRNA from 1 species
AGGUAGAUGGCGACACUGAAGCCUGCAAUGGAGGCAGGUGUUGCUUUCUUCUGAUCUCCUCAGAGAUGCUGUGUGAUCUGAUCUGAGUCAGGAGAGGAGUAGACAUUAUGUAAAUGACAGAGCGGAAGGAGGAUUGGCGUGAGAGAGGUCACUGGCAAGGACGCAGAGACUCACCAGCCCUUCUGCCCACAGUGAUCCUUUCUGUGACUGAACGUUGAUGAGUUCCAUCUUGUGCCGGCCUUGUGUGACAAUCACAGCUGCUGAGAGUUCAAGGGUGCAAUGGCAUGACCGUGUGUGUGCCUGGUGCAGUUCGUUGGCCGUGGCCAGACACGAGAAUCCCACGGACGUGGAAAU